UUUUUCUUAACUUCAGGAAACUCCCCUUCAUGUUCAGCGUUCUUGAAACCUGCACCAGAUUCCCUCGAGACCUGCCUUACCUCAUUGGAUCAGUGACAAGUGAAGUCGGCAUUUAUUACCACAUUCCUGGCAGAAAUUGAUAAUCACCUAUGUCUGCUGUGGUCAGAGAGGCCUGUGACAACAGAGAAUGGGCCAGAGAAACAUGACAUUGCUGGCUUUGAAGAUAGAGGAAAGGGCCCAUGAGCCAAGGAAUGUGGGUGAUUUCUAGAAGCUGAAAAAAGCAAGGAAAGAACAUUUUCCCAAGAGCCUUAAGAAAGGAACACAGCCUGCUAGCACAUUGAUUUUUGU